CACACAUAUAAACACAAACAAACUCUCACACACAUAAACUUUUGCUAGGAACUUUAAUAAUAUCAAGUGUAAUCUCAUAUGCGAGGUCAUGACAUGGUGCGUCAUAGUCAGGGCUGCUCAUGCAUGCGCUCGCCAGUCAGAGUGACAUUUUUUCCAAAUCUUUUCCAACGUUUCAUCAAAGGUGAAGGUGAGGGAAAUGUAAUCAAUAUUGCUAUUCAAUUAAUAACAAACAGAUUCACGCUAAACCAUAUGAAUAAAUUAACAAUUAUCAUCCCCACCAAGACUUAUGCUUUAUCACGCUGACAUUAGAGUUAAUAAACUAUCUGUCUGACUCAUGAGGUGACAUUACAGUUAAUAAACUAUCUGUCUGACUCAUGACGUGACAUGACAGUUAAUAAACUAUCUGUCUGACUCAUGAGGUGACAUGACAGUUAAUAAACUAUCUGUCUGACUCAUGAGGUGACAUGACAGUUAAUAAACUAUCUGUCUGACUCAUGAGGUGACAUGACAGUUAAUAAACUAUCUGUCUGACUCAUGAUGUGACAUUUCCUCAACAGGUUGAUAGUUAAACUGUGAUACUAUCUGAGUCUGACUGAUGAGGUGACAUUUCCUCAACAGGUUGAUAGUUAAACUGUGAUACUAUCUGAGUCUGACUCAUGAGGUGACAUUUCCUCAACAGGUUGAUAGUUAAACUGUGAUACUAUCUGAGUCUGACUCAUGAUGUGACAUUUCCUCAACAGGUUGAUAGUUAAACUGUGAUACUAUCUGAGUCUGACUGAUGAGGUGACAUUUCCUCAACAGGUUGAUAGUUAAACUGUGAUACUAUCUGAGUCUGACUGAUGAGGUGACAUUUCCUCAACAGGUUGAUAGGUAUACUGUGAUAGACAGGAAUAUAACAAGAGGACUCUAUCUUCAUUAUGUACAGUUUUGAUAUGGAACGACAUCAGAACCUUCCAAGCACCUCCCUUCAUGUGUAUAACGCAACAUGAAACAGUGUUACAAGGGUAAUAAUGACAGGAGGGUUCUAUAGAGACAUGGAAAACGUGUGUUUGAUAUGGACUGACAGACUAGUAAUAACCUGUCAUAUGAGGUUUCUGAAACAGGUAUUCAAAAGAGAGUAAAGGCCACAGUAUAAAGAAGCAUGGCUUCACAGCACGGCUUCAAAGUACGGCUUCACAGCACGGCUUCAACGGCACGGCUUCAACAGCACGGUUUCACAGCGUGGUUUCACAGCGUGGCAUCAACAGCAUGGCUUCAAAGCAUAGCUUCAACAGCGUGGUUUCACAGCAUGGCUUCACAGCAUGGCUUCACAGCUGGACUAAGGUGGUAGAGACAGGAUAGAGGCUAAAGAGAUGGGAGAAAGAUGUUUUGUUAAAUC
rnacentral:lncRNA from 1 species